AACGAACGCUGGCGGCAUGCCUAACACAUGCAAGUCGAACGAGACCUUCGGGUCUAGUGGCGCACGGGUGCGUAACGCGUGGGAACCUGCCCUUAGGUUCGGAAUAACUCCCCGAAGGGGGUGCUAAUACCGGAUAAUGUCUUCGGACCAAAGAUUUAUCGCCUUUGGAUGGGCCCGCGUUGGUUUAGCUAGUUGGUAGGGUAAAAGCCUACCAAGGCGACGAUCCAUAGCUGGUCUGAGAGGCUGAUCAGCCACACUGGGACUGAGACGCGGCCCAGACUCCUACGGGAGGCAGGAGUGGGGAAUAUUGGACUAUGGGCGAAAGCCUGAUCCAGCAAGGCCGCGAGAGUGAUGAAGGCCGUAGGGUUGUAAAGCUCUUUUACCCGGGAUGAUAAUGACAGUACCGGGAGAAUAAGCUCCGGCUAACUCCGUG
rnacentral:rRNA from 1 species